CUUGCUCCUAAAGGGAACCACAAAAUUUUCUUCAUCUUAUCUCAUCCAUGGUCGUGACAUAGGUUAGUGAGAGAGAGCUUGAGAGUUCAAGUGGUUCUAGGCAAUUUUAGAUAAAACCUAUUACAUAAAAGUUGUAGCUUUUGGUCUUGUGAACCUAAAUACUCUUUCUUUUCUUAUUGAAGAGCCUUGUAGUGAGAGAAACAUUCAUUCAAAGAGGGUUGGUACUAUUCAUCUAGAGAGAAAGUUAGGGUUUUGAGAAAUUGAUUGGUGGAAAAGAAAGCAUGAUGUUCAAGGAAGCUAUUCAAGGUUGAAGAAAAAGUUUUAGAAGCAUUGGAUUAAUUCUUGGGGUUCAAGUAAGCAUUGGAUUUGAGUUUUUACAAGUACAUCAGCAGCAAGAGAACCUUCAAAGGGAAAAAGACCAGUGCAGUGAGGAUAAAGGACUCAAUAGGAAUGGACACUUAGUUGUUUUGAAUGUCUGGAUAGACAUGUUUUGCUAGUGCAAGAAGUAUAUGAUCAUGCAUUUUCAUAGGCAUGUGUUUGCCUAUGGGUAUUUGUAUAUUGUAGAUACAUGAUCUUUAUGUUUAUGUUUUGUACACGGUAGAUGUAAUCUGAAUGGCACCGAGCCAUAUUUCAGUUUACAUACAUUGGAUAUGGAAUUGUCUGUUAUCAGGUACAAGAUUAAAUAGUGCUAAUUGUCCAGUUUACAGCUGUUAUGCUGUCCGCUAGACUCUGUACGGAAUGGUAUAAAUUAUCAUAUCUGUAUAGUCAUUGGU